UUUUGAGGUCUGGCCUGCUCACUGACAAGUUUUAAAGAGCCGCGGUAUUUUGACCGUGCAAAGGUAGCAUAAUCAUUAGUCUCUUAAUUAGGGGCUGGAAUGAAUGGCUUGACGAGAAAUUAACUGUCUCUUAUUAAAUAAUAGAAUUUAACUUUUGAGUUAAAAGGCUUAAAUUUUUCUUAAAGACGAGAAGACCCUAUAGAGCUUGACAUUUUAUUUUAAUAUAAUUUUUAGAUAGUUUUUUUUAUAUUUUAAGAUAAUGUUUUGUUGGGGUGACAUGAAGAAUAAAUAAACUCUUCAUUAUAAAAUCAUUGAUUUAUGUUUAUUUUGAUCCAUAAUUUAUGAUCAUAAGAUUAAGUUACCUUAGGGAUAACAGCGUAAUUGUUUUUGAGAGCUCAUAUUGACAAAGCAGAUUGCGACCUCGAUGUUGGAUUAAGAAUAAUUUUGGGUGCAGGAGCCCAGUAA
rnacentral:rRNA from 1 species